CUGUUUUGCCUAUCAAACAGCUCACACUAUUGCAACACAGCCAACCAGCACACAAGACAGCUGAUGUGGGAGGAAGAAUUCUUGUCCAAGAGCAGUGAGAGAAACUUUUCCUUUACUUGGAAAGGUCCAGAACAGAAGGGCCUGUGCCCGGAUUUGCUGGGAGGAAUGCAUUUAAGAAAUUAAAGAAGUCAGUCUAAACAGAAUAUAUUGAAAACAACAAACCAAGUGACACAGAAGUUGGGAAACAUGAGCACAAUUAAAUCGCCUCCCUAUCAUAUCACUGCUGGUUCUUAUUUGAGAAGAAAACCUCAAGCUUCUGACUGUCCAAUUCUUAUCAAAACAACAGGGAAACACUGAUAAUCUCAGAAGAAUAUUUGGAUUAGUGAAACUCACAACCACUGUCAGAAGUCUCUUUGGCUUUCUGUUCUGAAGUAGCAGAAUCUACUCCAACAAGAUUCAUGAGACCAAACUACAGUAAUUCCUAAGAAAAGGGUGAAGAUCUUCGUACCUGAAGGAUGUUGGCUUGUUCCUGAUACCUGACCCAUUCCAUUUUCCUCUGUUGCUUUUCCUGGUGGAAGAAAGAGCCUCUGGGUGACAAAGUAAAUUGAGAUCAGAAAUCAUUGUUCUCAAUAUGCUGCAAAGACGUUAUAGCAAAGUACAAUAUCAUUAAAUUCACUAAUAAAUUGGCUUCAACUUUUUGGUCCUUUUAGUAGGGCCCUACCUGUAUAAUCCGUGCUCUAAAAGCUAAAAGCUAAAUGAAUAGAAUACUUAUUUAUGGAUCAGUGUGUUGUGGGAAGAUUAAA